rnacentral:rRNA from 1 species
UUUUACUCCUACGGGAGGCAGCAGUGGGGAAUAUUGCACAAUGGGCGAAAGCCUGAUGCAGCGACGCCGCGUGAGGGAUGACGGCCUUCGGGUUGUAAACCUCUUUCAGUAGGGAAGAAGCCCUCUUUGGGGGUGACGGUACUUGCAGAAGAAGCGCCGGCUAACUACGUGCCAGCAGCCGCGGUAAUACGUAGGGCGCAAGCGUUAUCCGGAAUUAUUGGGCGUAAAGAGCUCGUAGGCGGUUUGUCGCGUCUGCUGUGAAAGACCGGGGCUCAACUCCGGUUCUGCAGUGGGUACGGGCAGACUAGAGUGCAGUAGGGGAGACUGGAAUUCCUGGUGUAGCGGUGAAAUGCGCAGAUAUCAGGAGGAACACCGAUGGCGAAGGCAGGUCUCUGGGCUGUAACUGACGCUGAGGAGCGAAAGCAUGGGGAGCGAACAGGAUUAGAUACCCUGGUAGUCCAUGCCGUAAACGUUGGGCACUAGGUGUGGGGGACAUUCCACGUUUUCCGCGCCGUAGCUAACGCAUUAAGUGCCCCGCCUGGGGAGUACGGCCGCAAGGCUAAAACUCAAAGGAAUUGACGGGGGCCCGCACAAGCGGCGGAGCAUGCGGAUUAAUUCGAUGCAACGCGAAGAACCUUACCAAGGCUUGACAUGGACCGGAAAGACCCUGAAAUCACGUGCCCCCGCCGG